GACGAACGCUGGCGGCGUGCCUAACACAUGCAAGUCGUACGGUAAGGCCCUAUCGGGGGUACACGAGUGGCGAACGGGUGAGUAACACGUGAGUAACCUGCCCACUAUAUUGGGACAACGCUAGGAAACUGGUGCAAAUAACGGAUAUGUGCUCUUGCAGCAAGGGGGGGGUUGGAAAGCUCUGGCGGCUGUGGACGGAUUCGCGGCCCAUUGGCUUGUUGGCGGGGUAGUGGGCUACCAAGGCGGCGAGGGGUAGAUGGCCAGAGAGGGUGAGCGGCGGCAUUGAGUCUGAGGUACGGCCCAGGCGCCUACGAGAGGCAGCUGUGGGGAAGAUUGCACAAGCGGCACAAGCCUGAUGCAGCAGCGCCGCGUGCGGGAAAGCGGCUUUCUGGUUAUAGACCGCUUUCAGCAGAGACGAAGCUUUUUGUGACGGUACCUACAGAAGAAGCACCGGCUAACUUCGUG
rnacentral:rRNA from 1 species